AACGAACGCUGGCGGCAGGCCUAACACAUGCAAGUCGAACGCGUGGCUUCGGCCACGAGUGGCGCACGGGUGAGUAGCACGUGGGAACCUACCCUUCGGUGCGGAAUAACGCCGGGAAACUGGCGCUAAUACCGCAUACGCCCUUUGGGGGAAAGAUUUAUCGCCGAGGGAUGGGCCCGCGCCCGAUUAGCUAGUUGGUGAGGUAACGGCUCACCAAGGCUGCGAUCGGUACCUGGUCUGAGAGGAUGAUCAGGCACACUGGGACUGAGACACGGCCCAGACUCCUACGGGAGGCAGCAGUGGGGAAUAUUGGACAAUGGGGGCAACCCUGAUCCAGCCAUGCCGCGUGGGUGAUGAAGGCCUUAGGGUUGUAAAGCCCUUUCACUGGCGAAGAUGAUGACGGUAGCCAGAGAAGAAGCCCCGGCUAACUCCGUG
rnacentral:rRNA from 1 species